UUUAGAGGAUUCUGGCAUUCAUUUUUUCUUCUUCAAUGAAUGAGUUCAUGAUGUGUUUGUUGUGAUGUAAUAGCAGGGCUGUCUGGUUGGAGAUCAGUGAGCAGGAGCGCAGGGCUCAGAUCCAGAACCAGAAGAUGCUGCAGGACUUUCAGAGAGCACAAGACAUGCUCAAUGACAUGGUGGCCCGCACCGAAGCCAUGAACCCUAUACGGGUACUACAGCACUUAAAGAACAAUAUUCAGCAGAAGUCUGACUUUAGAGGCAAUCUUCUGUCCUCCAAUUUUCCAGAACCAUCUCAGCCUUCUCAUAUAUGCUAAACACUCAUCAGACAGGGAAAGGUAAUUUGCUUAGCAGUUUUCUCAUGCCACAUAUCAACGUUUUUUUGAGAAAACUCUUAACAAGGCCCUUUUUCUUUAGACAUCAAGCAAAAUACUGAAAGACGCAACCAUCAUCCUUAAAUUCCACCCACUUGGUUAACUGGCUCUCAGUCUUUUAUUUCCGAACUCCCCCAAAACAGUAUCCCACAGGAUUACAAAAACCUUCACAACAUUCAAGCCUUGAAUCAUCCAAAUUCUUUACCUGGAGAUUGAAAAAAUGAUAUAUUUUAUCUCCAUUUGCAAUGCCAUCCACAUGUUAGAGAUAGAUCUUCCUAAGAUUUGGAAACAGUGUCAAAACAUUAAUAUCUUAACAUAACAUCUUUCCACAUUUAUCUGUUUUAGCUCUUCCACUAUAUCACAAGACACUUAAGAUAGCCACUCUGACACAAAAAUCAGCAAAACACAUCAAAAACAUCUAAGAAGUGUAACAGCAAAGAAUCCAUUAUCACUG
ensembl:lncRNA